rnacentral:rRNA from 2 species
AAACGACUCUCGGCAACGGAUAUCUCGGCUCUCGCAUCGAUGAAGAACGUAGCGAAAUGCGAUACUUGGUGUGAAUUGCAGAAUCCCGUGAACCAUCGAGUUUUUGAACGCAAGUUGCGCCCGAAGCCUUCCGGCCAGGGCACGUCUGCCUGGGCGUCACGC